CGCUUCGGUGGUGGAUUAGUGGCGAACGGGUGAGUAACACGUGGGCAAUCUGCCCUUCACUCUGGGACAAGCCCUGGAAACGGGGUCUAAUACCGGAUAACACUCUGUCCCGCAUGGGACGGGGUUAAAAGCUCCGGCGGUGAAGGAUGAGCCCGCGGCCUAUCAGCUUGUUGGUGGGGUAAUGGCCUACCAAGGCGACGACGGGUAGCCGGCCUGAGAGGGCGACCGGCCACACUGGGACUGAGACACGGCCCAGACUCCUACGGGAGGCAGCAGUGGGGAAUAUUGCACAAUGGGCGAAAGCCUGAUGCAGCGACGCCGCGUGAGGGAUGACGGCCUUCGGGUUGUAAACCUCUUUCAGCAGGGAAGAAGCGAAAGUGACGGUACCUGCAGAAGAAGCGCCGGCUAACUACGUGCCAGCAGCCGCGGUAAUACGUAGGGCGCAAGCGUUGUCCGGAAUUAUUGGGCGUAAAGAGCUCGUAGGCGGCUUGUCACGUCGGAUGUGAAAGCCCGGGGCUUAACCCCGGGUCUGCAUUCGAUACGGGCUAGCUAGAGUGUGGUAGGGGAGAUCGGAAUUCCUGGUGUAGCGGUGAAAUGCGCAGAUAUCAGGAGGAACACCGGUGGCGAAGGCGGAUCUCUGGGCCAUUACUGACGCUGAGGAGCGAAAGCGUGGGGAGCGAACAGGAUUAGAUACCCUGGUAGUCCACGCCGUAAACGUUGGGAACUAGGUGUUGGCGACA
rnacentral:rRNA from 1 species